UUAACAAAAUUACUUCUCCCUCUCCGUCUUCUCUCUCACUCUGUUAGCAAUCCCAAAAUUUCUACCGCCUCUCUCCUUACUGCGUAAAAAUUACUCCGCCACAAGCUCCCUCUCAUUGCUCCGCCGUCGCUCCAGUUUUCUCCGCCGCCGCCGCUCUCCGCACACAAUCGAACACCAAGUUUUUCGAAAAACCUCCACCACCGGUUGGUUCUUUGACUCCACCACCAAUAAAACUUCCUGUGACUAAGCUGCUUGGGCUGCUAAUACCAGAUUCAAUUUCGGAGACUAUCUCAAUUUGAAGUUUGAGCUUAAUUCAUAGCCAGUACUGAUUUGAAGUUUGAGCUCCUAUUCUUAUGGGAGCCAGAGUGAGGGUUUUUAUGUAUCUGAGCAACAUUUGAAGUGAGCAUCACCCAAGAUUUUCACUGCAUAUAGUUACAAGUUACAACGCCUUGAGUUUGAUGACUUCGUUACUGGAUGGGUAGAUUAUUGGUGAAAUAUCUGUGGCUGGUGCAAGAUACAAAUCCAUUAAAUUUGUUGGCUCUACUGUUAUAAGCUUGACUAUUACAGCAUAACAUUGUGCAACAUGGUUAUUGAAGCUGGGGAAAGAACGGCAUUGUCCCUGCUGAUGCAACAACCUUCAAGUAUCUCCAGGACAAGACAUCGGUUCCUUAUGAACCAGUUUAUAGUGAUGGACAAGCAAGUUUUGAUUAGAUUUUUCUCGGAGUACAAAUUUGAUAUCACAAAGUUGGAGCCUUGGUGUCCAAGGUGAUUACGUGGUAGCUGAUGCCUUCCUCCUCAUCGUGUACGUCUGGCUGGCAUUACGAGACAUUGAAGCGAUACGGAUUGAAGAUGCAUAGCAAGGUUCUGCUGGCUUGGAUUCUAGUUCUUGACCCAAGCUUAGUACUUGUCCACAUCCUUUGUAUUCAAAUUCUUAAAUUUUUAGCAUUUCAAUUCAAUUCACUGUAAAACAAUUGAAUUCAAUUUAAUAUAAUGCAAUUUCAGUUUUGUUUA